AGGCAGCAGUGGGGAAUAUUGGGCAAUGGGCGCAAGCCUGACCCAGCAACGCCGCGUGAAGGAAGAAGGCUUUCGGGUUGUAAACUUCUUUUAAGAGGGAAGAGCAGAAGACGGUACCUCUUGAAUAAGCCACGGCUAACUACGUGCC
rnacentral:rRNA from 1 species